GACGAACGCUGGCGGCGUGCUUAACACAUGCAAGUCGAACGGAAAGGCCCUGCUUUUGUGGGGUGCUCGAGUGGCGAACGGGUGAGUAACACGUGAGUAACCUGCCCUUGACUUUGGGAUAACUUCAGGAAACUGGGGCUAAUACCGGAUAGGAGCUCCUGCUGCAUGGUGGGGGUUGGAAAGUUUCGGCGGUUGGGGAUGGACUCGCGGCUUAUCAGCUUGUUGGUGGGGUAGUGGCUUACCAAGGCUUUGACGGGUAGCCGGCCUGGGAGGGUGGCCGGCGACAUUGGGACUAAGAGACGGCCCAGACUGCUACGGGAGGCAGCAGUGGGAAGUAUUACACAAUGGGCGGAAGCCUGAGGCAGCAACGCCGCGUGCGGGAUGACGGCCUUCGGGUUGUAAACCGCUUUCGCCUGUGACGAAGCGUGAGUGACGGUAAUGGGUAAAGAAGCACCGGCUAACUACGUG
rnacentral:rRNA from 1 species